GCCUCUCACAGCAGUCUCUCAGUAUGAAGAAGGGUAUUACAUAAAGAUGGAGAAUGAUUUUUAAGGGACCUGAAUGAGAAUUUGAUGGAAUGGGCUCCUGUGCAAUCCUGUGGUUGGCAAUAUCGUCGCCUUUCCCGUGACAUAUGCCCGUGAUGUUGGCUUGCUUGAUGGUGAAGAAGUGAAAUUGAAGGAGCAAUAAUGAGUGAGGCUUUGAAGAACCCUGCAAACUCACUCCUGCUUUAAAAAGGGAAACUGCAGUAGAUAAUAUAAAUCUUUCAGAAGCUUCCAGAGCCAUGCCAGACCUCCGCAGAGCGGGACUGUGCCCCUGAGAGUGCUGCUCAUUUAACACCCCUGAGGAGUCAGGUGGGGCCUGAUCUACAUCCAGUGUACACCACAGCAAAACAGAGUACAAGGGGAUGUUUCUUACUUCAAGAACCGGUGCGCAGCCCUUAAUAUGUGGAACAGUCUUAGUUUCAACAAAGUCCAAAUCCUGGACUUCACCCAACUAUCCAGUCACAGGAAUAAAAGGCAAAGAAAAGCUUGACAGGAGGUAGAGGCUUGACAAAACCCACAAGUUCGUAAUUAUCAUGUUGCCUUCCUACAAAACUGAGAUUUAUCAUAUCUACAGACCUUUAGGUUAUUUCACUAUAUUACCUUGAAGUACCUGUUUUUAAGAGCUAGAAGUUCCCUCUUUCCUCCCUCCCCCAUUUCUCAUUAGCUAAGAAGGGGGCACUGAGUGCAAGACUUUCUUCAGAAAGGCAGAUUCACACUGUGUACUCUGGGGUUUGGCACCUUCCAGGACACAAAGUGAAAUCCAUUAAAACAGCCACAGCUUAGGAAGAACAGACACAAGAGCGUUUUGUUUCUGGAUGAUGAUAGCUGUCCCUGUGAAUGGAAAGGAGGACAACCCAGUGUGAAUGACACAUGUAUGAGACAGUAAAUAGCAUAGUGCCAACUGUAGAUGUUUCUUCUAGUUUGGAUGGGAUUGGCUACAAUAAUUUGCUGUCCUGCCCUGGAACUUACUCCUUUUUUUUUUUUUAAUUUUCAACUUUCUUAGCUGCAGGGCUUAAUUAACUGGGAUUUUAUUUGGGGCAGAGGGGGAAAGGGAGAUGAAGGAGGAGUAUGAGGAGUUGUCUUAAAAGGGAGUAAUUCCCUUUAAAAUCUGUCUUACUCCACAGCAAUCACUCACAUAAUUAUGUAUGAUACAUUCUGGUGUAACUCAACCUUUGGUCGGCUCUACACGGGGGAAAUUAACCAGCAGAGCUGUUCUGUAAUAACUUCUAUUAUUGCUAUUUUGGUAUAAUUUAACUAUUCUGGAAUACCUCCCCAGUGCAGACAUUCAGCUCCAGAAUAAAAGCAAUUUUACUCCAGAAUAAUUACUCUGCUUCCAGGAGGGAAUAAUCAUUCUAGAAUAAAGUCACUUUUAUUUCAGAAACGAAUAUGCAGGGAGUUCCUUGGGCAUAGCUCCCCAACAAAGUUAUUGUGGUGCCAGUUAAUUGUCUCAUGUAUGCAGAAAUAUUAGUAACCUUCAGCAAUGAUGUGUCUUGUUACAUUUAUCUCUGUUUACAUGUUAAUUUCCAUAAAAUUAAGCAGUAAGAUCUGGUGGAGAAUGAGUUAAGCUAUGUGAAUUUUCUUUUUUACCUUGUCUCACACAGAGAGUUCAAUAUUUUGUAAUAAACACUAUCUCAUCUGAAGAAAAGAAAGAAUGUUUGAAUACUUUCCUCUGCAUAAAUUGCAUAUGUCAGUGCAAUCUGAAGUUUAUUUCCAACAGUUUGCAAACUGUUGCAAUAGUCAAACAAAAAACAAGUAUACAUGCACACACAUAACUAUUUUGAAUUUCAGAAUUGACUUGGUAAACAUGUAAAAUGACUGCUAAGGCAACUUUAAAGCAAUUAAAUGGAACAGAUCCUCCUGGAAGCUGUGCUAAGGCACAUGGAGGAUGGGGAGGUGAUUUGAGACAGUCAUCAUGGCUUCACCAAGGGCAAGUUCUUCCUGACCAACCCCAUGGUCUUCUGUGAUGGAGUGAUUCCAUCAGUGGACAAGGGAAAAAUUAUGGAUGCCAUCCAUCUGGACUUCUUUGAUCCUGCCCUGCAUGACAUCCUUCUCUCUAAAUUGUAGAUAUGUGGUUUUGAUGGGUGGGCUCCAUGACGGAUAAGGAACUGGAUAGAUGUUUGCAUCUGGAGAGCAGUCAACACCUCAGUGUCCAGAGGGAGAUCAGUAAUGAAGGCUGUGCUUCUGGGGUCUGUAUAGUUUCCCCCAAACUCCUCAAGGGAUAUGCUGGCUGAUAUGGCAGAGCUUAUCCAAAUGCUCUCUCUAAGAGAGGCAGCACCACCCUUGCUUCAGUCUACACCUGCCUCUGAAAGCUACUGGAAGCAUAAAGGCACAACAGGUGUUUAAAAGUGGUUGACAAGGGAAUACAAAACUUUGGACAAAUCAUAAUUUCUUCAAUCCCACCUCCAAAGCUCCAAAGCCCAACUGGAUAUGUUACAGGCUGAAGAAUGGAAGAGACUGGUCUGGUUUGGACUCUGCUCACUGUGGAUAUUUUUCUCUGAUACUUUGGAAAGGAAUUACGAGAAGGAAAUUUAGCAGCUGGCUGGAGCUGCAUUAUCACAGCAGUGGGAAAUUCGGAAAUUUAUUCCCAGAAUCCACUAACAACAGCACCAGUUUUAAUUAGAGUAACUAGAAGACAAAGCCAUAUUCUCACCCUUUACAUUUUAAUUUUUUUUGGUUGUUUUUUAUAUUACUAAAUCUGCUGCUCUGAUGAAGACUCAUUUUUAUUGUGUGAUGAAACCCUAAAGCUUGCCACAAAGACUCUGCCUAAUCACGAGAAAGAGAACCACCAGGGAGAAUGAGGUGAGGAGAAGCUCCAGUGCAGCUGUAGAAAUCCACUGGUUUUUUGGGUAUGAAAAUUAAUUGAUGUUUGAAAGACAAGAGGAUUUGUUAAAUUUAGCAUUAUUAAGGCAGUUCCACUGGAUUUGUUUAACUGCCUAGCUGAGGUAAGAAAGCACAACUAUGUUUAUCUGAUGUGGGUCCCAAAAUUUCCUGCAUGACCAGGAAGAAUACCAGCUUUGAGAGAUAAGUUUUGUUCAUGAAACCAAAGCCUUUAAAAAAGUCCAGGGACUUUACAUUUACACAAGACAUGUUACUAUAAAGAUGGAGAGUGUGCAGCACUCAUAAUUUAACAUUAGUUGCCCAAGGACUUUUGAGGAGGCAUACAGAAAAUAUUACUAGAUGUCAUCGACUGAAGCUUAUAAGAAAAAAAGUGAAGUGGUGUCAGUCUGCAGAAAAGAGAUGGGUCAGUCUCAACAUGUUGGAAACAAAGCUCAGUGCUCAGUGGACUAGAUUACCAGAUCACAAAUCACACAGUGAAAGAAAAACUGAGAGGGCAGGAGAAACCUUAAAAAUUCAGUCAAUACUGGGCUAGAGUAAAGAGCACAAGAGAUUUUUUUUGCUUCCUGCUCAGAUCACAAAGAAAAGUAGCAUCCAAUCUUGCGGCAGAGCUGAAAACACGUCUUAAAAAAAAACAAAGGUUGUUGCUUCUGUAGAAUAUGGAGGAGGGUGAAAAUAAGCCUGAAAUCAGGCUUCAUAGAGAUAAAAGGUACUAUAGAAGGCCAGGAGUCCAUAAUAAAUAAAAAAUCAGACAAAAGCUAAACUAAUUGUAAAUGUGAAAAUAAUAAAGAUAUGGAAAUUUUCCAGUAUUUAUGCAAAUGCCAUAGGGAAAAGUUGUAAAAUAAACAUUUUCAGCAUGAAUAAAGUUUUGGAAUCGGGAGAAAAAGGAGAAUGAAGAACACAAUUAGAUUAUGUACACAUAAUUGUGCUGAAGAGAAUAUAGGACCCAUGACCCAAUAUUGUCAGAUAUGUGUAUGUUGUGUAAGGAUCCUGCAAGGUGGAGUGACGCCCGAGUGUGAAUACAGGUGCUUCUCCUGGAGAUUUGCCUUCUUCGUAGAAGCAGCAUUCUGAAGAAGGAAAGACUUCAGGAAGAAAGAGAAAUGCCUUCAGCUUCUUCCAAAACAGCGCACAAGGGAGAUGCAGAACAAGGGUGUGUUUCCUCUAGCCCA